UNCNUCCNUCNGAAAAGNAUGAAAAGNGNUCCCNNNNGAANGGGUGUGUANAGAGGUUUUUCUCCCANAUAAGAGGGGGAGAAAAAUUUNNNGAGUAAGGAAUAAUUAUUUAAAAGGGGUGAUAAUGAAGGAUGAGAGGANAGGAGGAAUGGUUUUAGAGGGAAAAGAUGGUAUGUGAUUGUAAGAUAUUGAUUUGAGAUGAGAUAGAGGUUUAUAAGAUAGUUUGGAGGGGUAAUGGAAAAAAAAGGAUAAGAGGGGUAGUUGGUUUGAUAGGAUGAUUAGUAUGAUGGAAAUGAGAUAUGGUAUAGAAUUAUAGGGGAGGUAGUAGUGGGAUUUUGGUGAAAAAUUGUAGAAAUUGGGAAGAUUUGGGGGAGGAUUUUUA
rnacentral:misc_RNA from 1 species